rnacentral:rRNA from 1 species
CAGUCGCCGCGGUAAAACGUAGGUGGCAAGCGUUGUCCGGAAUUAUUGGGCGUAAAGGGCUCGCAGGCGGUUUCUUAAGUCUGAUGUGAAAGCCCCCGGCUCAACCGGGGAGGGUCAUUGGAAACUGGGAAACUUGAGUGCAGAAGAGGAGAGUGGAAUUCCACGUGUAGCGGUGAAAUGCGUAGAGAUGUGGAGGAACACCAGUGGCGAAGACGACUCUCUGGUCUGUAACUGACGCUGAGGAGCGAAAGCGUGGGGAGCGAACAGGAUUAGAUACCCGCGUAGUCCCUGUCUCUUAUAA